rnacentral:rRNA from 1 species
UACGGAGGAUGCAAGCGUUAUCCGGAAUCAUUGGGCGUAAAGAGUCCGUAGGUGGCCUGAGAAGUCCACAGUCAAAGACAGAAGCUCAACUUCUGAAAGGCAGUGGAAACUAGCAAGCUAGAGUGCGAGAGGGGUAAAGGGAAUUCCCAGUGUAGCGGUGAAAUGCGUAGAGAUUGGGAAGAACACCUGUGGCGAAGGCGCUUUACUGGAGCGACACUGACACUGAGGGACGAAAGCUAAGGGAGCGAAAGGG